rnacentral:rRNA from 1 species
AUUGAACGCUGGCGGCAGGCUUAACACAUGCAAGUCGAGCGGGGGAAGGUAGCUUGCUACCGGACCUAGCGGCGGACGGGUGAGUAAUGCUUAGGAAUCUGCCUAUUAGUGGGGGACGACAUCUCGAAAGGGAUGCUAAUACCGCAUACGUCCUACGGGAGAAAGCAGGGGAUCUUCGGACCUUGCGCUAAUAGAUGAGCCUAAGUCGGAUUAGCUAGUUGGUGGGGUAAAGGCCUACCAAGGCGACGAUCUGUAGCGGGUCUGAGAGGAUGAUCCGCCACACUGGGACUGAGACACGGCCCAGACUCCUACGUGAGGCAGCAGUGGGGAAUAUUGGACAAUGGGGGGAACCCUGAUCCAGCCAUGCCGCGUGUGUGAAGAAGGCCUUAUGGUUGUAAAGCACUUUAAGCGAGGAGGAGGCUACUCUAGUUAAUACCUAGGGAUAGUGGACGUUACUCGCAGAAUAAGCACCGGCUAACUCUGUGCCAGCCGCCGCAGUAA